AGUGAACGCUGGCGGUAGGCCUAACACAUGCAAGUCGAACGGCAGCACAGUAAGAGCUUGCUCUUACGGGUGGCGAGUGGCGGACGGGUGAGGAAUACAUCGGAAUCUACUUUUUCGUGGGGGAUAACGUAGGGAAGCUUACGCUAAUACCGCAUACGACCUACGGGUGAAAGCAGGGGAUCUUCGGACCUUGCGCGAUUGAAUGAGCCGAUGUCGGAUUAGCUAGUUGGCGGGGUAAAGGCCCACCAAGGCGACGAUCCGUAGCUGGUCUGAGAGGAUGAUCAGCCACACUGGAACUGAGACACGGUCCAGACUCCUACGGGAGGCAGCAGUGGGGAAUAUUGGACAAUGGGCGCAAGCCUGAUCCAGCCAUACCGCGUGGGUGAAGAAGGCCUUCGGGUUGUAAAGCCCUUUUGUUGGGAAAGAAAAGCAGCAGGUUAAUACCCCGUUGUUCUGACGGUACCCAAAGAAUAGGCACCGGCUAACUUCGUG
rnacentral:rRNA from 1 species